AGGCGGAAAAGAAAUUGUCCGGGAUCCCUGCAGUCUUUCCGUAGGUUGUGGUACCACGCCAGGCAAGAGAAGAGGAAGGAAAUUAACCAGAUCGGUGAAGGUCGAUUUGAGGUACUUCGUGUCCAUGUUUUCGAUCUGUCAUCCUGCAGGUCUGCUGUAGCAGGUGGCACUGCUUGAAGCAAGGGAGGAACUCCC